UAGGGCGAAAGCCUGAUGCAGCAACGCCGCGUGCGGGAUGACGGCCUUCGGGUUGUAAACCGCUUUUAGUAGGGAAGAAGGGCUUCGGCUUGACGGUACCUGCAGAAAAAGGACCGGCUAACUACGUGCCAGCAGCCGCGGUAAUACGUAGGGUCCGAGCGUUGUCCGGAAUUAUUGGGCGUAAAGAGCUCGUAGGCGGUUUGUCACGUCUGCUGUGAAAACUGGAGGCUCAACCUCCAGCCUGCAGUGGGUACGGGCAGACUAGAGUGCGGUAGGGGAGAAUGGAAUUCCUGGUGUAGCGGUGGAAUGCGCAGAUAUCAGGAGGAACACCGAUGGCGAAGGCAGUUCUCUGGGCCGUAACUGACGCUGAGGAGCGAAAGCGUGGGGAGCGAACAGGAUUAGAUACCCUGGUAGUCCACGCCGUAAACGUUGGGCGCUAGAUGUGGGGACCUUUCCACGGUUUCCGUGUCGUAGCUAACGCAUUAAGCGCCCCGCCUGGGGAGUACGGCCGCAAGGCUA
rnacentral:rRNA from 1 species